CGCCAUUAUUUCACCAACAGACUAUUUUCACCACCCCUGGCUUAUUUCACCGCCCUUUUCCCUGACUGUAAACGGAGUCCAGAGAGCCACAAAGAAUUCAGUUGGACUCAUUCACAACUCUUCUGGAACUCUGGUACAGCCACGGCACAUGCUAGGGGUCCGUGUAUAAAUGACCAUGCUCUACCUAAUAAAUGCAGAUCUUCUCCCAGCAUUAAGUCUCAACUAAU